GACCACGUGAGGCGGGCCCGUGACGUGCAUCUGAUGACGUGAGGCGGGGCCGCCGCGGCCGACGGGAGGAGCAGCGGGAGCUCAGGGUUUAGGAGCCGUUGCUGUGGACGGAGAGACGGGGACGUGAGCAGCCAUUGAGGGCGGCCAGGGUGCCGGUGAGCCACCCCCCCAAUCUGCUCUGUGUGCGGGCUGAGCUUCGAGGGGCUGAGAAUCGAUGGACCACCACAUGAAAGGGCACAACAAGGAGAAGCGUUAUGAGUGUGACGUGUGUGGCAAGGCCUGGCAGCACCCGAGCCAGCUGGAGAACCACUGGCGGGUUCACACGGGAGAACGCCCCUUCACCUGCUCCGACUGCGGCAAAGGCUUCAAGUGGUCCACGGAACUGAAGGUGCACAUGCGCCUGCACACCGGGGAGCGGCCCUACACCUGCAGCCACUGUGGCAAGGGCUUCACCCUCUCCAGCAACAUGCUGAGGCACCAGCGCACCCACACUGACGAGCGCCCCUUCACCUGCGCCCAGUGCGGCAAGGGCUUCACUUGCUCCAACCACCUCCUGAGGCACCAGCGCACCCACACCGGCGAGCGCCCCUUCAACUGCGCCCAGUGCGGCAAAUGCUUUACUCGCUCCUGCCACCUGCUGUUGCAUCAGCGCACCCACACCGGGGAGCGGCCCUACAUCUGCGCCCAGUGCGGCAAGGGCUUCACCCUCUCCAGCAACCUGCUGAGGCACCAGAGCAUCCACACCGGCAAGCUCCUCUUCAUCUGUGCCCAGUGCGGCAAGGGCUUCACCUUCUACAGCAACCUGCUGAGGCACCAGUACAUCCACACUGGCAAGCGCCCCUUCAUCUGCGCCCAGUGCGGCAAGGGCUUCACUCGCUCCACCUAUCUGCGGUCCCACCAGCAGGUGCACGCCGGCGACCGUCCGGUCCCCAGCCCUGUGUGUGAAGAGCGCUUUGCCACGACCUCCCACGCCCUGUCUCACCAGCGCAUGCACACCAGUGGCCAGCCCUACAACUGCCCGUACUGCGGGGAGGCAUUCGACAGCUCGCAUGAGUUGCAGCAGCACCGGCAGGAUCACGACGGCGAGCGACUGCUCCCAUUGCGGCAAGCGUUUCAAGAGUGCACGGAGGCUGCGGGGGAACCAGCGGAUACACACCGGAGAGAGACCCUUAGUGUGUGCUGAGUGUGGCAAGGCUAUGGCAGCACCGACGUACCCACAGCGUCUCCCCCCUGCAUUGUCGUUCACUUUUGCACGUCUUGAGUGGUUUGUGGUCCAUGGAGAGAGGGGGAGAGAGAGAGGGAGGGGGAGGGACAGGAAAUGUGAGGGGUGGGGUUACUCUCUGUUCUCUGACGUCUCAUUACAUCUCCAUCUGCACCCGGCUACGAGACAGAGAGAGAGACGGAGAGAACGAGGGUUGCGGACGAUGUCGUUUGUCCGAAUCUCGUGGCCGCUCAUCUUCCUCGUUCUGACCUCAGGCUUCGGCCUGAUCCAGGCCCCGCCCUCUGACCCCGGCAACCGGGGGGCCGCGUCCCCGGACAAAGAUGGAGUAGGGCCCCAGGAGAAGAUGGCCGCCGCGAGGUCAGGGGUCGGCGACCGCACCGUGAUCCCACUCAUGCUCCUCUUGGUCUUCCUGACCUUGGCGGCUAUCUUGGCCGGAGCUUGGACUCAAUUCAAGACCCUCGGAGGGGGAGGGGGAGGAGGGGGAGUGGUGGGGUGGU